rnacentral:rRNA from 1 species
UACGUAGGGUGCGAGCGUUGUCCGGAAUUAUUGGGCGUAAAGGGCUCGUAGGCGGUUUGUCGCGUCGGGAGUGAAAACACCGGGCUUAACUCGGUGCUUGCUUCCGAUACGGGCAGACUAGAGGCAUGCAGGGGAGAACGGAAUUCCUGGUGUAGCGGUGAAAUGCGCAGAUAUCAGGAGGAACACCGGUGGCGAAGGCGGGUCUCUGGGCAGUAACUGACGCUGAGGAGCGAAAGCGUGGGGAGCGAACAGG